GUUUUUCUCAAGGCUCAGAAUUAGAAUGGGCAAGAUGGUGAAUGGCUUCACGGGCCACUUAGCCUUACAACUCAAGAAUUUAAAAGUAUUGAGGAAAUUUUUAUUUGAUGUUUUGCUUGCCCUUGAUAGAAAAGGCAUCUGUAUGGACUUGCCAACUGUAGUUUUUGGAAGGACUCACCCUGGACGAUCCUCCGGGCCAUCCCAUACGCUCCCUUCUCUCCGCUCUAGGAUUCUGCUCUACUUGGAGAAAACUGGGCAGUUCUGGCUGGUUUCCUACUUCGGGGUUGAAGGUGCCAAGCCAAGGUUUGGCCUGGAGUCUCUUCGAGACGCGGAGCACCUCUGACCCCUACUGGCCGCUAGCGGUAUCACAUCUCUAGAACGGCCAGGACUCGAGUACGUGAUGACAUGCAGCAACUACUCCCGGCCUUCCCCGUGUUUGAUUGGCAAAGCCUCAUGAAAUUGAACACUGAGGAAGAUUUCAAGAAAGGAAGUUGCAAAUGGUUUGCAUGCAAUGGAGACAAAUAGACCUGAGCAUAAAUCACAACCUGGCCACCUACCAGAGAUGUCUCUUUGAACAUAUCAAAGAGGAACAUGUCAGCUCCUCUGCACCUUGGUUUCAUUGUCUGUGAAAGGAAAUGACAGGAAAUAGAAUAUAUGUUGAAUACAUAAACGAAAAGAAUACAUGGACACAUCCUUGUUGGUAAGAUCAGAAAAAAAUAAAUGUAAAGCAUUUACAGUACUGCAAAGUACACAGAAACAGAAAAAGUUCAUUGAGAUCAUUUAAUCUUUCUGUGUAUCAAAUAUCCUGAAGUCUUCCCAGCCAAUAUAUAUGUAGUGCAGAACUAUUUGGGAAUGGGGGACAAAAGGCAACUUGUCCAAAUCCCUUUCUCAGAUUUGUACAAGCCAGGACCAGUCUCCUCAUUCACUCAAGACCUAGGGUUAAAAAAAGAAGUAAGCGUUACCUAGGGGAUAUUAUCGAUAGAAAAGAGAGGCUAUUCUACCUGUUGGGUGUGCUGUGGGGUUUGCUGCCGUUUGUAUGUAUGAAUGAGGUAUUUAAAGAUCUUAGAAACAAGGUUUGGAGGAUUACUUGCCAAGAGUAAUCUGAUUACUCUCCAGGAGCCUAAUAACAAUGAUAAUAGUGGCAAUAGCCAAGGUCACCUGCACUGGGUACCUUCCAUGCACCAUUGUGCUUACUCUGUAUAGCAACCAUUAGGAUAAAUGUUAUUAUUAUUUUUAAUAUUAUUACUGCUCCACUUUACAGGUAAAGAAAAUUAGGCUUAACAAUCUUCGAUGCAACAGACACCAGUGUUUGUCAGUGCCCAAUACCCUCCUUUCUCACUGGCCAAACUCAAAUCCUAUCCACAUGCUCAUUCCUCCCUAAGUGGCUCCAGCUUGCGUGCAGACCAGGGGGGCCCAUCAGAGAAACCCCUCCUCCUUGCAGCAGAUUGGCUUAAGCUGGAGCAAGUGACCCAGUUAUGCUCAAUUUUUCAUAAGAGAAGGCUGCUAGAAGCCUCUCAGGGAAGGAUUGCUAGUUAAUAAAGAGAGACACAGGGAAGAAAGUUUUCUUUACUUCCAUCAGAUGCUGUGUCUGGAGUGCCUAAUGGAGCUGAGGACUGCGGAUGAUACUGAUAUGUUGAAAGAUAUCAAUAUGUAAUACAACCACCAUUGUUAAUUCCCUACCACUUUGUUUCUAACUCUGUAUUGUAUGUAUUGUGCUUGUGAUAUGUUGUAAAAUGUUGUAUGUCUGUUAAUGUUUCCCUCCUUUUAUCUUUAAAAUAAAAAAAAAAGAAAGUGGCACGUCAAA
ensembl:lincRNA uncharacterized LOC106149455